rnacentral:tRNA from 1 species
UCCCUGGGGGUCCAGCGGUUAGGACUCUGCACUUCCACUGCCAAGAGCCCAGGUUCAAUACCUGGUCAAGGAA